ACCCUUUAAUGUUUGAUGUUCUAACGUGGACCCGUGAUCCGGGUUGCGGACAGUGUCUGGUGGGUAGUUUGACUGGGGCGGUCUCCUCCUAAAGAGUAACGGAGGAGCACGAAGGUUGGCUAAUCCUGGUCGGACAUCAGGAGGUUAGUGCAAUGGCAUAAGCCAGCUUGACUGCGAGCGUGACGGCGCGAGCAGGUGCGAAAGCAGGUCAUAGUGAUCCGGUGGUUCUGAAUGGAAGGGCCAUCGCUCAACGGAUAAAAGGUACUCCGGGGAUAACAGGCUGAUACCGCCCAAGAGUUCAUAUCGACGGCGGUGUUUGGCACCUCGAUGUCGGCUCAUCACAUCCUGGGGCUGAAGUAGGUCCCAAGGGUAUGGCUGUUCGCCAUUUAAAGUGGUACGCGAGCUGGGUUUAGAACGUCGUGAGACAGUUCGGUCCCUAUCUGCCGUGGGCGCUGGAGAACUGAGGGGGGCUGCUCCUAGUACGAGAGGACCGGAGUGGACGCAUCACUGGUGUUCGGGUUGUCAUGCCAAUGGCACUGCCCGGUAGCUAAAUGCGGAAGAGAUAAGUGCUGAAAGCAUCUAAGCACGAAACUUGCCCCGAGAUGAGUUCUCCCUGAGACUUAAAGUCUCCUGAAGGAACGUUGAAGACGACGACGUUGAUAGGCCGGGUGUGUAAGCGCAGCGAUGCGUUGAGCUAACCGGUACUAAUGAACCGUGAGGCUUAACCUU
rnacentral:rRNA from 3 species